UUUCCAGUUAUAUACACUCUAAAAAACGCUGGGUUGUUUUUUCAACCCAAAUGCUGGGUUGAGACCGCUAGGUAGGACAUUUGGUUGUUUUAACCCAAGUUUGGGUUGAAAAUUGGUCUUGAUCAUAACCCAGCGGCGCUGGGUUGUGAACGCGGACGUGAAGGAGAGCACGCACGUCACGUUAAAAUCGUACGUCUCCAGUGCGAGAAGCCGCCAUUUUCUCAGCGUGAAAGAAGCGAGAAGCGAGUGAAAGACAUUACGACUUGUCGAGCUCGUCAUUGUCAAGACACCUGCUUGUGUGAGGAGGAGGCGGUGUUCUCAGCUUCUUCUGAAGAGAGGGACAGACGGGUUUAAGAUGUUGAAAGCCAGAGACAUAGGAGAGCAUCAUUCUUUUGAGAUUUAUAACUCAAGCUAACUUUGGAGUUAAGGACACAGAAGUCUGCUUGUGUGAGGAAGAGGCGGUGUUCUCAGCUUCUUCUGAAGAGAGGGAAAGAUAAUUUAAGAUGUUGAAAGCCAGAGACAUAGAACUCAAACCAACUUUGGAGUUGUCUGAUUUGGAGACUCAUCAUUCUUGGUCUUCCCUCUUAAGGGAAUAGUUCACACAAAAAAUCAUUUAGUUGCCCUCAUGUCAUUCCAAACCUAUACGACUUUUGUCUGUCUUUAGAAUACAAAUGAAUAUAUUUUGAAUUUUCAGAGUUAUUGUAGAAGUAAUCCAUUCCGAUAUUUAUAUAUGAUUAAAUCUUAAAUUAUAUGAUAGCGAACAUGUCUGUUCAGAAGAAAAUAUUGGUCUCCCAGACUAGCAAUGGAGGACAAAAAUUAAUAGAAUAUUAAAUAUAUUUAUUUGUGUUCCAAAACUUAGCAGAGUUUGUAUGGGUCUGGAACAACAUGGGGGAGUAAAUUAUGACCAUUUUCAUUUUUUGGUGGACUAACCCUUUGAAGAGCAGCCCUCAACGUACAUGAACAUUUGUGAGGCCACUGAUGAAGAACAGGCGGUGACUGGGAUGAAUGCUGGUCAAAGAAGAGAAUGUCCUUUCCCCUAAACUGAUGCAGCAGUGGUUUUAAAGGAGGAUGCUGCCCUGGGUGAUUGUAGAUGUCACAUGUGCUGAUGGGGCUUCUUCAUGACUACAUCAAUUAUGCUGAAGAGAUCAUGAAAGUUGACAGUGAUGCAUGAUCUGUAUUCAUGGACUGUGAAACAAACUGUAAGUGUAUAAUUUGUAAAAACAAAAUGUUAAAUGCUUGUUCUGUGUUGUUUAGUAAAAGAGUUUACACUCUGUCAUUCACACACAUGCUCACAUUCUUUCACACACACACACUCGCGCAUCUGUUAAAUGUUAUAAUAUCAGUGUUAAUGUUGUGGUUUAUUUGUGUACUGUAAUGCUAGAAUAGUUGGUAAAGAACUUAACUAAUUGUACAUUUAUUGUAUAAUAGUGUGUUCGUAUAUUUUUAUACAAUAUAUAAAAUUUACCAAAGUCCAAUUUGAUCUUAAAAGUUAUAUUCAACAAAUGUUCAAUGCUUUAUUUAUGAACUCUGUAGCUGUUAAUGCCAUACUUUUCUGCAUUUCUUCUUACAUG
ensembl:lncRNA